ACGGGUGAGUAAUAUAUCGGAACGUGCCCAAUCGUGGGGGAUAACGUAGAGAAAUUUACGCUAAUACCGCAUACGAUCUAAGGAUGAAAGCGGGGGAUCGCAAGACCUCGCGCGAUUGGAGCGGCUGAUAUCAGAUUAGGUUGUUGGUGAGGUAAAAGCUCACCAAGCCGACGAUCUGUAGCUGGUUUGAGAGAACGACCAGCCACACUGGGACUGAGACACGGCCCAGACUCCUACGGGAGGCAGCAGUGGGGAAUUUUGGACAAUGGGCGAAAGCCUGAUCCAGCAAUGCCGCGUGCAGGAAGAAGGCCUUCGGGUUGCAAACUGCUUUUGUACGGAACGAAACGGCUCUUUCUAAUAAAGAGGGCUAAUGACGGUACCGUAAGAAUAAGCACCGGCUAACUACGUGCCAGCAGCCGCGGUAAUACGUAGGGUGCGAGCGUUAAUCGGAAUUACUGGGCGUAAAGCGUGCGCAGGCGGUUAUAUAAGACAGUUGUGAAAUCCCCGGGCUCAACCUGGGAAUUGCAUCUGUGACUGUAUAGCUAGAGUACGGUAGAGGGGGAUGGAAUUCCGCGUGUAGCAGUGAAAUGC
rnacentral:rRNA from 1 species